GAACGCUGGCGGCGUGCCUAAUACAUGCAAGUCGAGCGAACCACUUCGGUGGUUGAGCGGCGAACGGGUGAGUAACACGUAGGUUAUCUGCCCAUCAGGACGGGGACAACGAUUGGAAACGAUCGCUAAUACCGGAUAGGACGAAGUUUAAAGGUGCUUUCGGCACCACUGAUGGAUGAGCCUGCGGCGCAUUAGCUAGUUGGUAGGGUAAAGGCCUACCAAGGCGACGAUGCGUAGCCGACCUGAGAGGGUGAACGGCCACACUGGGACUGAGACACGGCCCAGACUCCUACGGGAGGCAGCAGUAGGGAAUCUUCGGCAAUGGGCGAAAGCCUGACCGAGCAACGCCGCGUGAAUGAUGAAGGCCUUCGGGUUGUAAAAUUCUGUUAUAAGGGAAGAAUGGCUCUAGUAGGAAAUGGCUAGAGUGUGACGGUACCUUAUGAGAAAGCCACGGCUAACUACGUG
rnacentral:rRNA from 1 species